UGGUGGAGUGAUUUGUCAGGUUAAUUCCGUUAACGAACGAGACCUUAACCUGCUAAAUAGUUUCCAGAACUUAGGUUCUCGGGUUACUUCUUAGAGGGACUUCGUGUGUUUAACGCGAGGAAGUUUGAGGCAAUAACA
rnacentral:rRNA from 1 species